GAGUGUCAUCAACUUUUUGAUAUAUUGCAAUGGGGUCAUGUGGUUCUAUAAGUCUAUUGAUGCGAGUGGAAGAACUCAAGAUGCUGCAUAUUUGUUCAAGGAGAUUCGAAAGGUGGUGGAAGAGAUUGGACCGGAGAAUGUCGUGCACGUAGUCGCCGACAACGGCUCGAACUACAA